rnacentral:rRNA from 1 species
AAUGAACCGCAGGCUUCAUCCCUUGUGGUGCUCCCCCGCCAAUCCUUUAAGUUUCAUACUUGCGUACGUACUUCCCAGGCGGCAGACUUAACGGCUUCCCUGCGGCACUGCAUUGGCCACAAGCCAAUGCAUCACCGAGUCUGCAUCGUUUACAGCUGGGACUACCCGGGUAUCUAAUCCGGUUUGCUCCCCCAGCUUUCAUCCCUCACCGUCGAACGUGUUCUGGUACACCGGCUUCGCCACAGGUGGUCUUCAAUAGAUCAAAGGAUUUUACCCCUUCCUAUCGAGUACCGUGUACCUCUCCCACUCCCUAGCUGCACAGUAUUUUCGGCGGCCUAUACGUUAAGCGCAUAGAUUUAACCGAAAACUUAUGCAACCGGCUACGGAUGCUUUAGGCCCAAUAAACCUCCUGACCACUCGAGGUGCUGGUUUUACCGCGGCGGCUGACACCAGAACUUGCCCACCCCUUAUUCACCAGUGAUUCUACAACUGACAAAAGACUCCUUUAGCAGGAGACACUCGGAUUAACCUUGUCGUGCUUUCGCACAUUGCAAAGGUUUCUCGCCUGCUGCGCCCAUAGGGCCUGCGUCCGUGUCUCAGUACCAUCUCCGGGCCCUCC